rnacentral:rRNA from 1 species
AUUGAACGCUGGCGGCAGGCCUAACACAUGCAAGUCGAACGGUAUCAGGAAACAGCUUGCUGUUUCGCUGACGAGUGGCGGACGGGUGAGUAAUGUCUGGGAAACUGCCUGAUGGAGGGGGAUAACUACUGGAAACGGUAGCUAAUACCGCAUAACGUCGCAAGACCAAAGAGGGGGACCUUCGGGCCUCUUGCCAUCGGAUGUGCCCAGAUGGGAUUAGCUAGUAGGUGGGGUAACGGCUCACCUAGGCGACGAUCCCUAGCUGGUCUGAGAGGAUGACCAGCCACACUGGAACUGAGACACGGUCCAGACUCCUACGGGAGGCAGCAGUGGGGAAUAUUGCACAAUGGGCGCAAGCCUGAUGCAGCCAUGCCGCGUGUAUGAAGAAGGCCUUCGGGUUGUAAAGUACUUUCAGCGGGGAGGAAGGGAGUAAAGUUAAUACCUUUACUCAUUGACGUUACCCGCAGAAGAAGCACCGGCUAACUCCGUG